AUGGGAUCUCAUAAAACUGCAAAGCUUCUGUAAGGCAAAGGACACUGUGGAUAGCAUGUCUUUAAUCUCAGGUCUGGUAGCAGAGACAGGCGGCUCUGGACUCAUUGGCCAGGCAACCUAAGAGCCAAUGAGCUCUAGACCAAUGAGCAUGCGAUUUCAAAGCAGAAAGGUAACAUUUCUGAGUGUGAUGCCCAAGGCUGUCUUCAGGCUGUCACAUUCACAAAUACACAAAUGUAUGCAUACCUGCACACACAUGAACACAUGUAUAUGACAUGCAUAUAAAUAAGAAUUUGAAAAUAAUUAAACUCAUGAAAACGUAUGUAAUUUAGAAAAACUGGGCAGUCUAGGGAGACUAUCACUGUAAUACAGAAUCUCUUCAUUACGUUUUUUUCCCCCUCUGAAGUCAUACGCCAUCAAGAGCAAUUGACUAAGUUUCCAGUUUUGAGCAUUUUCUUUUCAUUCUGUCAGGAAUAUUAUACACCAACACACAUUUUUUAUGCCUCCGGACAGCUUCUUUAUGAUUUCCCAUGUUUUGUGGAGAUUGUUACCAUAACCACAUUGCAUUUGUUACAAACAGGAACUACAUUAGAACAGGUAUUAGACCGGAUUCCACCUCACUAGUGAGGGUAAGUAACUCCACACUAUAAAUAAGUUGGGUUAAUGUGUGAAUGAUGCGUUACCUGGGCCUGCAGCUGCCCAGGUGUUUCUUUAAGGGGUCUGCGAAGGAAGGGAAUAAACGUGCUGUGCAGAGGAUAGGAAAAUUAUUAUCAUCUGCUUUCCGAAAUUGAAGGAGAAUUUUAGCUCAGCAGAAACCUCUUGACUGCAAAAGUCUGAAAUUGCAUCCUGCUGGUAAGAAUGCCCGUUCGGGGUGGUGGGAAUUUGAACAUCCCUUUUUGCUUCAAAUCACGUAAAUGUUAUGAGUUUGGAAUGGAAGAAUGCUAUCUCUUCUUUGCAAAAGGAGAAGUGGCUUGUGACCCCUUAUGCCAACACUGAAGAGCAAAUUCCGAUUAGGAAAGUACUUCCUUUUUGCUUAAUAAGUAAUUUUAAUAGUUAUUUUUAAGGGAGAAAUCUUUGUCUUUGACAUAAACUUGAAUUCAAGUAUUUUAUUUUAACAUAGGAUAUUGCUUUCUAGACUUAAUUCACCAGUUGGACUUUCUGCUUAGUGGGACAUUUUUGGAAGUUAAGCUUAUUUUCAGGACAAAUGCUUUUGGUUAUUCAUAAAAAUUCUGUUCAUUCAUGAUUCUAUACUUCUGCUUUACAUCCCAUCAGGCUUCCUUAGUCUCUGCGUCUUUUUGGUUAAUACUUUGGGGGCCUGCAUUUUAGCUUUUCCUGAAUCUAAUAUUUUAAACUCAGAAUUGUUUGUUUCACUGCCUUUGUCUAUUUUUCCACUUUUGUCUUCUCCAAGUAACUUGCUGUGCAUUGCAUUCCUAUGUUUUGCACUGUAGUCUAAUGUGCAAAACACUCUGUUUAAAAAAAAAGAAUAAGCAAUUUUUUUCAUUUACUGAUAUUGAAGAGAGAUGUGUUUUCUUCUUAGGAUUUUGAAAAGUUUGUUUUCCUUGAGCAGGAUAUAUGUAGCUUUGAAAAUUAUGUAUCACUCAGGAGGCAGAGGCAGAUGAAUGCAUGGGUUCCAGGUUGGCCAGGGCUACACAGAGAAACCCUGUCUCAAAAACAAAAUUAAAGGAAAAGAAAAGGAGAGAGAAAAUAGUUUACAGUGAGUGAUGCUUCUCUUAACUUCAUAUGGUAACCUGAUCUCUUGGGACAUGAGAAUGCUUGUUAUACCCCUAUGAACAGAUGGAGAAAAUGGUGUAUAUUUUUCUCUUCCAUUUUUUUCCAGAUAAAAAUUCAACAAUACCAAUUCUAUUCUUCUCGUUUUAUUUCUAUAUUUCUUUUAUUUCUUUGGAAACACAACGUCAUGAAGGGGAGGAUGGCUUUGAACUCUCACUGGUAGCCUCUCCUACCUCCACCUCUUAAGUGGUGGUGUUAAAGGCAUGAACCACCACUUUAGGCUCCAACACAACUUACGAUAUUCUUACAUUCUUCCACAUUCCUGCAUUGCUUAUACUUGUAUAAUUUGAUUUGGUAUAUUUAAAUGACAUCUCCUGAUUUUCAGGCAUUGAGAAGAAAGCUACCCUCUGUACACUCAAAACACUUUGUAUUACAUCCUAUGUUUUUGUUAGUCAUUUCGAUUCUGUACUUUAAUGACAUCAUACUUCAUAUUCGAGUCUGUCAUUGGAUUUAUCUCCCUAGUUGAAGGCACCCAGUGCUCACAAUCAAUCCUUUUGUGUUUUUAUCAACAAUCAGUUUUUUUUCCACCUUUAGUGGCUGUUUCCGAAAGGGCUUAUGAUGAUAUUGUUGCCAGAGAGUCUGCACGGGCAGGAUAUUUGCUUCCAAAUUUUAUGUGUUAGGAGCUGGCUCAACUGGUCAUCAAAUCAGUGAUUCCCACAAAGCUGGGAUAGGAAUUAUUCCAGGACACCCUCUACAUGGUUAGAUAAGGCCUCUUAAAUAUUUCCCUUCUCCAAGAUAAAAGCAAUGAGCCACAGACGAAAACUUCUAAACAGCAGUAUGACUCCAGCCUCAUGGGCUUAACAUUCUGUCCAGUUAGUACAGGACACACACUGUACCAGCUGUCCCUGCACUCUCCCCACGGCCUGUAGAGCUAUCAUUUAGGAAUGUUUAGGGAUGGAAAGGGCCGCUGAGAUAUCCAAUGCAAAGGUAUUAUUUUAGGCUGAAGAAAAGGAAUGGGAAGGAACUGGAAGAAGGAAAGAGGGUUAUUUUCCUUUGGUUGUUUUUUGGUUUUGUAUCUUAUGGCUAAGCCACUACUAGUAAGCUGUUAAGCUUUGUACCGCAGUGAGAUCCAUGAAAGGACCCUUUCUACUUCCUCUGUCCUCUAGAAAUUCCAUGGGCAGAAGUGUGUCACUGCAAGUAAGAGGGCAUAGCAGGUGCCUGACACAUGGGAGAGUUCACCGUGUCUGAUAGCUCUUGUUAUUUUCCACAUUCUACCUAUGGAAUGGCACGCAGGUGGCGGGAUUCUGCUUUUCAGUGGGGUUUGUUGUUAACUACAUACGCAGCCAUUUUAUUUUCUGUUUCUUUUUAGAAUGAGAUUUUUUUUGAAUAUUUAAUUAUUCAUUUGUGCACAUGAAUAUGGGUGCUUGGGGAGGCCAAAGGUUUCAGAUCACCUACAGUUGGAGUUACAGGUGGUCGUGAGCCACCUAUGAGGGGGUGAGGAAUCAAACUCUUACAUCAUUUUGAGACGCCACUAGCUUGUGCUCAAGGUAUAGGCCAGAUUCUUUGUUCAAUACACACAUUUGGCCCAAAAAAUUCAUUAACAAAUGUUGCCAUUAAACUCAGGAGGUAAUUACUUUGGAUACAUAUGGAAUGAACAAAAUCCUAGGCCAACUGCAGGUGGAAGAAAUAAGGUUGAAGCUAGCCAUGUGUUAUACAAGAGACUUAAGAACAAAGACAUCAACAGCAGUGCAACAAACACACAGUUAUCCUCCAAAUGGAAGAAUCAAUACAGUUAGCAAAUUCCAGAAAGCAUGUCGGAGUUAUCUAAUACUGGCAAUGAGGAGCAUUUCCAAGGAAUUGGUUAUUAGAUCUGAAAUUAGUAAUGUGUAAUAAAGAGAGAUGCAUGCCGAAUUUUGUUCUCCUGUAACAGCACAGUUGAAGGGUUGCAUCUAAAAAUCUAUUCAACUUAACUACUAUUCCCAUGCUCAAUAAUGAAAUAUAGUUUCAGAUACAAGACUUUGCUUGAGACUACUUUAGACAACAAUCAUAGAUCUGUCAUGUCAAUGUUUUUCAAUUUAAUUUUUCUAAUAGUCUGGAUGGUUAGCCUAUGUGCACCAUGUGAAUACAGUGUAUAUGGAGGUUGGAAGAGAGACAUCAGUCUUUCUGGAACCAGAGUUUGAGGCUGCCGUGAGGUGCCAUAUAUGCUAAGAAUCAAACUCACAUCCUUACAAAGAAUAGUCAGUGCUCUUAUCCACGGAGCAAUUUCCUCAGCUCCUCCCACACCUUUCUAAAAUGUCAAAUUUUUUCAGAUAAGUAAAUACAUUUUUUUAGGCUUUUAAAAUAUUUUCAGCUUAUAUUAAGGAUGGAGCUUUUAGUGGACUCAGAGAGUAUUAUGCUAAGCAAAAUAAAAAGAUUCUGAAGGACAAAUUUUGGAGGAGUUCUACCAUAUAUUAAUGUGGAACGUUUUAAGGCAGAAAAAGAGAAGGGGGACCAUAUGGGAGGAAGAAGGAACCACACAGGUGAGUCAAGUCAAGAUGAAGCCUGUCAGAGGUGAAUAGGAUCAGAGGGCUCUCAAUGUGUGAGUAAAAUGUCACCAGUUAUUCUAAUAAAUAACAUACGCUAAUAAUAACACCUCAGUUAGAAAUCGUGUCAGAUGAUGAUAACUAUCGGAAUUAUUUUGAUUAAGUAAUAUUCUUAUUCUAUUUGACUAUCUCCUGAUGCAUUUCCAGCUUAAAAAAAUAAAAGACAAUAGGACCACGUUGAAUGAUAGUUUAAUAACUUUCUGUAUUUACUUAUAUAGAUUGUGAAUAUUUUUUAUGCUGGUAAUUUUUAUGUAUACAUUGACUUCUCAACAUGUUGAGACCAAUAAGCUUAUUUUAAUAUCUUUAUAUGUUUCAUGAAUUUCUUAUUACACGUGAUCAUAAUCAUUGCAAAAUAGGUGGUGUAUUUCUUCAUGGUCAGUCACAUCCGGCCAGGUGGUUGUUUCCUGUUCUUCCUGUUGGACUUUUAUUCUCCAGGUUAGAAAGAGAAAAGGAAUCCUAAGGGGACCAGGUCUUGGGAGCUCAAUUGAGCCUUCCUCCUCUCAGAUUUUAUGCUGCUGUGAUUCCAUAACAUUUCUGCCAUUUAAUUUCUCUUCAUAUAUUGCUGAGCAUUGCACCUGUCUCAUACAGGGUCCUGAGAUCGUGUUGGAACUGUGAUUUAAGAACAGAGUCUGAUAAAUAUGCUUAUGAUAGUAAGGUAAUUCACCUGAAGACAUGAUUCUGCUUGCCCUCACCUGCUCCACUGCUAGGAAAGAAGAGGAAGAAGUAAGGAAAAAGGAACAAGAAGACUCGUGACUCUGUAGAAUGUCCAGGGUUUAAGUGAUGAAGAAGAAAAUUUAAACGUGAGCUUGAAGAAGAAUGAGAAAAUUGCUAUGUUAAAACUUCGUGAUUUAAUGCUUUAAUGACCUGUGUCCUGAACAGGAGGAGUUUGAAAUUAUAAGACAGUACUGUGCUUUUGACAUAAAAGGAGGUUUAGAUUUAUAGGAAAGUAAUGUAUGCCCUCAUCCACAGCUAUGAGACAGAGAUGGAUGACCAAACCCUCUGGUUCUUCCUAUGCACUGUGAGUUAUACUUAGUGCACUACGGCAAGUCAGGACCAUCAUCUGCAACAAUGACUUGGAAUGCAGCCAGCCCGGUGCAUAGAUUGCGACACUGCAGUUCUGAAGAUAAGAAGAGGUGACAAUGGAAUACCUGAGCAUAGGUAGUUUGAUGAGGUGAUAUGGAGACAGUCACAAGCCGGGAGGAUAUACACACCUCUACAGUAUGCUGCGGGACCGUGUCAGUGGGCACUGACACGGAGAAAAAUGGACUGCUGGGAACAGAAGGAGUCUGGCAGACUGCUUGGACAUGGCACAGUCAGAGAAAGCAGCCUCAUGUCAAGGCAAACUAUCAAGCAAUCCUGAUGAAGAGUAGACUCCCAGAAUCCUGGCUUCUUAGCCCUCCAUCCUAAGCCAAGAGAAACAAGGCAAUCGCCAUGCUUACAUUGGAGAAAGAAAGCAGGCACGUGCCAUCGGAGUCAGAUGAGGUGGCUUUAUAUUGAUGUAUGUCUCUGUAGAUGGGGCCCUGCAGUUAGUUUUUAGCAAGUUUUGUUGUCCUGUGGGCAGUGGUAAUGGACCUGGCUAUAUCUGCAGGCUUCACACGUAGGCACACUGAUAAACACCAAUAGAGUUUUUGCUCCUAAUAACGCCUAAAAUUCCUCUAUGUGACAGUGCACAGACUGUUCGAUAUAUGCACUAUGGUAUACUCUGUUAAUAAAAUGUCUUAAUAUAAGUUUUCAGGAAGAGUACUUUUCCAGCAUUCAAUUAUUUCUAUGAUUACUGGCAAAGGAAAACACUGCAGAGGGCUGUAUUUACGAACUAAAUCACCAAGGAGGUUAGUGACGGCUUGCAGGCUUAGUCAGAUGAGUCUUGUAAUUUUUCAGAUGUUGCUGCUUAAAUCACAGUGUUUUUAAGAGGCUCAAAAGUGAUGUUAGAUAUAGGCGUGACUUGUAAUCCAUCAUCACCACACACCCAUAGAACAAGCUUUAAAGGGUAAUCAAGAGGGCUUUCCACAAGUGUUCAUGGCAGAAUUACUAUACUCUCGCUUCUACUCUUCUGGGCUUUAAAAGACUAUGAUAUGCUUCAUGUACAAUCACUUAAACUAAGGCAAAUAAAAAGUGGCUUUAAUGAUAAGUUACCCAGCUGCAUUUCCAUUAAGGGAACAAAGGGGUACCCCAACACCAUGGCUGACUCCUUAUUUAUAGCUUCCGGAAUGUCAUCUUCCUACUCAAAGCUAAAAUCUUCCCUGGUUAGCUGAUUUAGACCCUGAUGCAUCUGAAAAUGACAAGACUUACAUGACUAAGCCUACAAGCCUUUUGUAACUCUCCUGGCGAUUUAGUUCAUGGAAUACUGAACAGUAAGGCUGGCCAUCCUUUAUUAACUGCAGUGACUACAAAGGACACAGCAGUGGCUUUGCUCUGCACCUUCAGAGAGCCAACACCGCCUUUCUAGCCCAUCACUGCUUCAUGUCGAUAAGCAAAACCCCAGCAAGAACUCUGAACAGAGAAGUAACUCACUUGUUCCUCCUUCAGAGCCUGGUUUUGUUUGAUUUCAUAGUCAGAAGGAGAGCAGGAAGAGGCGACUAAACAAAGUUUCCUCCUUUCCUAAUGUUAUUUCGUUUUUAAUCAAAGUUCCUGUCCCAGUGAAGUCAUCUUCAUGUGUUUCCUCCUUAAUUUUGUUUCCCUUCCCAUCCGCGUGGAAUUGGUAAUGCACUCAACUGUGAGUUAUUGACUCUCAUCUUUCAAAAUGUCUGCCGCAGUGAGUGGAGUCCCUCCUGUCAUUACUCUUGCUGCAGCCAUUAGAUGUUCAGCUCUGGUGAAUUAAACACAAGGAGCCACAUGAGAGAACACUCUGUUUCCUGGUAGAGGUGUCAGUCUGAAUUGGGGACACCAGCUAUCCGGACAGUGUGCAAAGCAGAUGGCCAUCAAUAAAGGAAGCUGUGCUUUACCUGUUUCUUUUGAUGACCACCUGCAAACGGGGGAUCUUCCUGAGAGGAGACAGAUAAAGGAUGUGAAAUUUCAAAGAGCAGCGGAUGACUGAAUUUGAAAUGAGAUUCCCAUCCAAAGUGUCAGGGCAAUUGGCAGAAAUGCGACUUGGAAGACAUCUGCAGAUUGCAGUUUAUAAAUCUUGCAAUUGCAGAGUAUCGAGGCACAUGUCCCGUAGAUAGAAGGAUCCACCAGACUCUUCUUAAAAUUCCUCUGGGUCAGAACCAAUGGAGAAUCACCCAGGGUUUAGGACCCCUUUCUGCUGUUACCCACUUUUGCCCCCUUCCUUGAACAUGGAUGCUUGGUAUCCUAUCCUUUAAAAUCUGUUUUCUCCUGGUUGUUUACCCUGGAUAACACUGUGGAUGUUAGUAUAAAUAACAUUUACCAGAGCUACAAACUUUAAUGUUUUAAUGUUCGCUUAGUUUAUUUUUAAACGCCAACAGAAAGUGUUCUGGCUAGUUUUUUUGUUAGCUUGGAAACAGCUUUAGUCAACUGAGGAGAAGGAACCCCAAUUGAGAAACUGCCUCCAAGUAAGGCUCUAGGCAGGCCAUUCUUAUAUUUUUGGUUGUGAGCCUAGCCUUUAACGGCUGAGCCAUCUCUCCAGCCCCAUUAGGAUAUUUUCUUAAUUAGUGAUUUGGGAGGGGGCAAGCCUGUUGUGGAUUUGGCCUUCCUUACGCUGGUGGUCCUGAGUACUAUAAGAAAGCAGGUCUAGCAAGCCACAAGGAACAAGCCA
rnacentral:sRNA from 1 species